rnacentral:rRNA from 1 species
ACUCUUUCCCUACACGACGCUCUUCCGAUCUCUUGUCUCAAAGGUUAAGCCAUGCAUGUCUCAGUAUGAGUGCUUCUACAGCGAAACUGCGAAUGGCUCAUUAAAUCAGUUACGGUUUAUUUGAUGACUUGUGACACGGAUAACUGGGGAAAUUCUUCAGCCAAUACGUGCUUCUAAGCCGACUUUGUGGAAGGUGAGUAUUUGCUCGAUUCUGAACCAACCCAGAUCUUCUGGGCUUUAAGUUGAGCGGAGAGUAAAUCUGUCCAAUCGCAUUGCACCGCGAUGCGAUGCAUCAUUCAAGUUUCUGACCUAUCAGCUUCCGAUUGUAGGGUAUUGGCUUACCAUGGCGAUGACGGGUAACAGCGAAUUUGGGUUCAGUUCUGGAGAGGGAGCCUGAGAAACGGCUACCACAUCUAAGGAAGGCAGCAGGCGCGUAACUUACCCAAUUCUGACACGGAGAGGUAGUGACAAGAAAUAACGAUACAGGGCAUUCAUGUCUUGUACUUGGGCUGAGUAGAAUGUAAACGACUCUAUGAGUAUCAAUUGGAGGGCAAGUCUGGUGCCAGCAGCCGCGGUAACUCCAGCUCCAAUAGCGUAUAUUGAAGUUGUUGCGGUUAAAAAGCUCGUCGUUGGAUUUCUGUUGAGGUCGAACAGUGCCGCCCUAUGGGUGCGCAACUGGCUCGGCUUCGGCAUCUUCUUGGAGAGCGCAUCUGCACUUAACUGUGUGGAUCGUACUUCAAGUCAGUUACUUUGAGGAAUUGUGAGUGUUUCAAGCAGGCUUACGCCGUUGAAUCCGUUAGCAUGGAAUAAUAGAAUAGGACCUCGGUUCUAUUUUGUUGGUUUUGAGAGCUGGGGCAGCGAUUGAUAGGGACGGAUGGGGGCGUCCGAACUUUACUGUCAGAGGUGAAAUUCUUAGAUCGGUCAAAGGCGAACUACUGCGAACGCAUUCGCCAAGAAUGUUUUCUUUAAUCAAGAACGAAAGUUAGGGGAUCGAAGACGAUCAGAUACCGUCCUAGUCUUAACCAUAAACGUUACUGACUAGAGAUUGGAGGUUGUGAUUCACAAACUCCAUCAGCACCUCUAUGUGUAAACAAAGUCUUUGAGUUCUGGGGGGAGUAUGGUCGCAAGACUGAAACUUAAAGGAAUUGACGGAAGGGCACCACCAGGAGUGGAA